rnacentral:rRNA from 1 species
CAGCAGUGGGGAAUUUUGGACAAUGGGGGCAACCCCGAUCCAGCCAUGCCGCGUGAGUGAAGAAGGCCUUCGGGUUGUAAAGCUCUUUCGUGAGGGAAGAAACGGCCAUAGUGAAUAGCUAUGGUUACUGACGGUACCUCAAGAAGAAGCACCGGCUAACUACGUG